AUGAUUCCAGGACCUGGAAUCAUACCAGCCGAUGGGUGGUCGUUUAUCGCUCGUUCAGGUGACGGCGGUCAUUUGAUGCUCAUUUGCACAUACCAAAUUGACCAAACCAUUUCAUCAAACCACAUGCAGUACAAUGCCUGGGGCGCUCGUGACAUUGAUGGCUAUGGAUGCUUCGUGCUCGAGAAAGAUCCCAGCUCCGUUGGGCCAGGCGUAUUCAACUGGAGGCGGGUUUACAGCCUCGGCAACCACUCCAUGUUCCUCGGGAUCAAUUAUCCAAUCAUCCAACUAAUCAUCGAUCAUAUCGCUGGCAAUGAUUACCAUGGGAUGCAACUUCCAUUCGCCAGGGGGAACUGUGUUUACACAUCAUACCAUGGGUUUCAUGAAUCACCAUAUCCAGAGAUUCAUCGACACAGCUUAUUGCCAGAUAAUCUUCAAUAUGUGAAAGGCAUCAAGCUUCCAUGCGAUGGAUGGCUUUUGCAAACCCGACAUGCGACGAUGUGGUUCAUGCCAACAGCAAAUAUCCACAACUUGAUUCGAUGUACUAAUAAUGAUGAUGGAGAUGAUGUGCAUAAGCCAUAUAUAUCAAUUAGGCUUCAAUACCAUAUAACUGGAAUUAACCGAUGCAACUCCAAGAAGGAUUGGUCGGUGCUGCCGGUUGGCGUCAAGUUCGAACCCAUGAAUCAGGAGCUGAUCAAGCACCUUGAGGACAAAACCUAG
rnacentral:rRNA from 1 species